rnacentral:rRNA from 1 species
UCGUUGUAGCAAUACGAUGGAGAGUUUAGUGGCGAACGGGUGCUUAACACGUGGGCAACCUGCCAAGAAGUGGGGGAUAGCUCGCCGAAAGGCGAAUUAAUACCGCAUGUGAUUAGAGAGGACAUCCUUUCGAAAUUAAAGUCGGGGCAACCUGACGCUUUUUGUGGGGCCCGCGGCCUAUCAGCUAGUUGGUGAGGUAACGGCUCACCAAGGCUUUGACGGGUAGCUGGUCUGAGAGGACGACCAGCCACACUGGGACUGAGACACGGCCCAGACACCUACGGGUGGCAGCAGUCGAGAAUUUUUGACAAUGGGGGAAACCCUGAUCGAGCGACGCCGCGUGGAGGAUGAAGGUCUUCGGAUUGUAAACUCCUGUCAUUGGGGAACAAGGUGCAUACGUUAACUGCGUGUGUAUUGAUAGUACCCGAAGAGGAAGAGACGGCUAACUCUGUGCCAGCAGCCGCGGUAAUACAGAGGUCUCAAGCGUUGUUCGGAUUCAUUGGGCGUAAAGGGUGCGUAGGCGGCGCGGUAAGUCGGGUGUGAAAUCUCGGAGCUUAACUCCGAAACUGCAUUCGAUACUGCCGUGCUUGAGGACUGGAGAGGAGACUGGAAUUCUCGGUGUAGCA